rnacentral:rRNA from 1 species
GAUGAACGCUGGCGGCGUGCCUAAUACAUGCAAGUCGAGCGAACGGACGAGAAGCUUGCUUCUCUGAUGUUAGCGGCGGACGGGUGAGUAACACGUGGAUAACCUACCUAUAAGACUGGGAUAACUUCGGGAAACCGGAGCUAAUACCGGAUAAUAUUUUGAACCGCAUGGUUCAAAAGUGAAAGACGGUCUUGCUGUCACUUAUAGAUGGAUCCGCGCUGCAUUAGCUAGUUGGUAAGGUAACGGCUUACCAAGGCAACGAUGCAUAGCCGACCUGAGAGGGUGAUCGGCCACACUGGAACUGAGGCACGGUCCAGACUCCUACGGGAGGCAGCAGUAGGGAAUCUUCCGCAAUGGGCGAAAGCCUGACGGAGCAACGCCGCGUGAGUGAUGAAGGUCUUCGGAUCGUAAAAAUCUGUUAUUAGGGAAGAACAUAUGUGUAAGUAACUGUGCACAUCUUGACGGUACCUAAUCAGAAAGCCACGGCUAACUACGUG